CCUGCUUUGUCAAAGAUUAGUUGACCAUAAAGUUGAAGGUCCAUUUCUGGGUUCUCUAUUCUGUUCCAUUGAUCUAUGCGUCUGUUUUUGUGCCGAUACCAUACCGUCUUGAUGAUCACAGCUUUGUAAUAUAGCUUGAAGUCAGACAUUGUGAUGCCCCCAGCUUUGGUUUUC